rnacentral:tRNA from 1 species
UCCCUGGUGGCUCAGAGGUUAAAGUGUCUGCCUCCAAUGCGGGAGACCCAGGUUCAGUCCCUGGGUUGGGAA